CUUAAGGUGGAUAAUCAUUGCAACCCAGUCUUUACUUUAAAGAAAUUUAUUGUACUGUAGCGAUUAUGACAUUGUUUUGCAGUGGUUAUUGUAAGGAUUGACAAUUAUUGGUGAAGAUUUCUAUAACAGAGGGACCCACAGACAUGCAAGUUAGAUUAACUUGGGCAUUCUUUCUGACGAUUGUUGCAAUAGGGCAUGGGCGCAGUGUUCAAGGAUUAAGCAUAACGAUCAAUUCCGGCAGAAACAUUACGUGCGGAGAAGACGUUUCCGUAGCCUGUCACAACGACGUCAAUGGAAUAGUUAUCCAGUUUGCCUACAAUCAUUCUGUUAAUUACGAAACAAUAGCAGAAUGCCAGUUUGAUGUUGACCCCCAACUAAUGGAUACAAGAUUUAAAGAAAGGUUCA